CAAACCAAAGCUGGCGACCGGCGCACGGGUGAGUAACACGUAUCCAACCUGCCUCAUACUCGGGGAUAGCCUUUCGAAAGAAAGAUUAAUAUCCGAUAGCAUAUAUUUCCCGCAUGGGUUUUAUAUUAAAGGAAUUCGGUAUGAGAUGGGGAUGCGUUCCAUUAGUUUGUUGGGGGGGUAACGGCCCACCAAGACUACGAUGGAUAGGGGUUCUGAGAGGAAGGUCCCCCACAUUGGAACUGAGACACGGUCCAA
rnacentral:rRNA from 1 species